AGAGUCUUGACCUACAAAAGGUGCAGCUAAUAAUUGACUGUCAAAAAGAGGCACCCAGGCAUCGGAGGCACUGAGAUCAAGGUCUGCAUGGCACAAAAGUUAAGAGAUCUGAGGAGACGAGCAGAAAGGAUGCCUGCUGAAGGAGACACAAAGGACUGAGACAAUACACUUUUACAAAAGCACACCACACACACACACGCACACAUGCGUGUAUACCUGCGUUUUUUGUGGCUUUUUAUGUAUUUAUGUAUAAUAUGUGUGCUAAACAAAAGUGUAUAUAGUUUCUCAUUGAUAAUUGUCUUGAGAUAUUCACAUUUAUUCACAUUUAUAAACUUGUAUUUUUAUAAUCUCCUAAAGUCUUAGAAUUUAUGUUUUCAUGUUCAUGAUUAUUUUUUAUUAUUUUUUAUUUAAUUUUGUAAUACAUGUUGUUUAUAAAAAUACAUGU